rnacentral:rRNA from 1 species
GUCCCAGAGCACUGUGUUUAGAUCUCCCAACCUGCCAAGCAGGGCUACACUGGAGUUAGUACUUGGGUGGGAGACCUCUAAAGAAAACCUGAGGUCCUGUGGGAGG